UCGCAAGAUUAAAACUCAAAGGAAUUGACGGGGGCCCGCACAAGCAGUGGAGCAUGUGCUUUAAUUCGACAAUACGCGCAAAACCUUACCAAUCCUUGACAUUCGCUUGGUGUUCUUAUGUUACGUAAGAAAAAUAACAGCGAACAGGUGCUGCAUGGCUGUCGUCAGUUCGUGUCGUGAGAUGUUGGGUUUAGUCCUAGAACGAACGCAACCCUUAUCCUGUGUGUCUGUCUUUUUUUGCAUUAUUCAAACAAAGGUUUUCACAGGAGACUGCCAGUGAUAUACUGGAGGAAGGUAGGGAUGACGUCAAGUCCUCAUGGCCCUUAUGGGUUGGGCUAGACACGUGCUACAAUGGGGAUGACAAAGGGAAGCUCCAACGAGAGUUGUCGCGAAUCCUAAAACAUUUCCGUAGUUCGGAUUGUUCUCUGCAACUCGAGAACAUGAAGUUGGAAUUGCUAGUAAUCGUGAAUCAGCAUGUCACGGUGAAUAUGUUCUCGGGCCUUGUACACACCGCCCGUCACACCCUGGGAGGUGCUUCUUUCCAAAGAAUCUAAGAUAAAUUAGCUCGCCUUGCGAAAAAUGUGUGAGAAAAGCACUUUGAAAAGUGCUAACAUUCUCAAGCAUUGAUAAUUUAUAAGGAUUUUACGAGGGAAAAACUAACUGAGGUG
rnacentral:rRNA from 1 species